rnacentral:rRNA from 1 species
UUCAUGGAGAGUUUGAUCCUGGCUCAGGACGAACGCUGGCGGCGUGCUUAACACAUGCAAGUGGAGCGACGAACCAGGCUUCGGCCUGGGGCAAAGCCGCGAACGGGUGAGUAACACGUGGGUAACGUGCCCCGAUGACUGGGACAACCCGAGGAAACUCGGGCUAAUACCGGAUGUGCUGCACAGUCGUAAGUCUGUGCAACAAAGGAAGCUUCGGCCUCCGCAUCGGGAGCGGCCCGCGGCUCAUUAGCUUGUUGGUGAGGUAACGGCUCACCAAGGCUGCGAUGGGUAGCUGGUCUGAGAGGACGAUCAGCCACACUGGGACUGAGACACGGCCCAGACUCCUACGGGAGGCAGCAGUGGGGAAUCUU